rnacentral:rRNA from 1 species
UACGUAGGGUGCAAGCGUUAAUCGGAAUUACUGGGCGUAAAGCGCGCGCAGGCGGUUCUUCAAGUCAGAGGUGAAAGCCCAGAGCUCAACUCUGGAAUGGCCUUUGAGACUAGAGAACUAGGGUACGGGAGAGGUGAGUGGAAUUCCGAGUGUAGAGGUGAAAUUCGUAGAUAUUCGGAAGAACACCAGUGGCGAAGGCGGCUCACUGGCCCGUUACCGACGCUCAGGCGCGACAGCGUGGGGAGCAAACAGG